CAGCCGCCGCGGGAAAACGUAGGGUGCGAGCGUUAAUCGGAAUUACUGGGCGUAAAGCGUGCGCAGGCGGUUAUAUAAGACAGAUGUGAAAUCCCCGGGCUCAACCUGGGACCUGCAUUUGUGACUGUAUAGCUAGAGUACGGUAGAGGGGGAUGGAAUUCCGCGUGUAGCAGUGAAAUGCGUAGAUAUGCGGAGGAACACCGAUGGCGAAGGCAAUCCCCUGGACCUGUACUGACGCUCAUGCACGAAAGCGUGGGGAGCAAACAGGAUUAGAUACCCCCGUAGUCCCUGUCUCUUAUAC
rnacentral:rRNA from 1 species